rnacentral:misc_RNA from 1 species
CACUAUCGAAAUGGGUAAAUACAUGUAGGAAUAUAUAGGAUCUUCCAGAGCAUCACUUCUUGCGGGUUUGUUCUGUGUCAAUUCUGUUUUUUGUUCUGCUCUUCACUCUGUAAGAGCUUUUCUUGGCAAAUAUAACCCAACAGGAUAGAAAGUCUUCAAGCUCCUUGAAUCAUCAUAUUCAAAAGUCUUUUUCCUAGCAAUGGAUUCUUUCAAUCAAACUUCUGGGUUCCGGUAUAACCCAAAUUCGAACACAAUGGGUGAUGGUGAUUCUGAAGAGUCAGGGAUUCUUGAAAUCUAUGUUCAUCAUGCUAGGAAUAUUCAUAACAUAUGUAUCUAUGAUAACCAAGAUGUCUAUGCAAAAUUCUCUCUUACUUAUAACCCAGAUGACACCCACUCAACUAGAGUUAUCAAUGGAGGUGGCAAGAACCCAGAAUUCAAUGAAAAACUGGAGAUCAAAGUCUCCCAACUCGAUGCAGUUCUCAAGUGUGAGAUUUGGAUGUUUAGUAGAGAUAGGAA